CAGCCAGGCAGACUCUACACAAACAACAUAGCUGAAUUAGAAGAAAUACAGAGAGUAAGAAGAUGGAAAGGAUGAACAGAUGCAUCUGAUUAGUUGUUAGAAACAGGAUGCUGGACUGGACUCAGCAGGACGAUUUGGAGAACAAUGAGGACUAUUGAGGAAAAAAUCCAAUCCUUCAAUGAAAAAUAAAACACGUCUUUGCAGACCUGUCUCCAAAGGGUCCAACCAGUAAGGCUUGCCUUCUCUGCACUGAUGAAAAGAGCAAGAAGCAAAAAUCCAAAUAGGUCC